rnacentral:tRNA from 1 species
GCGGGCGUAGUUCAGAGGCAGAAUGUCAGCUUCCCAAGCUGAAGACGCGAGUUCGAUUCUCGUCGCCCGCU